AAAACAAAAGGUUUAGCUGCAUCCUGUAUGUAGCCUACUUCGUUCUUAUACACUGUACCUGGGAAAAAUGAUGAUGAUCAACUGAAUAGAGGAAUGAGCAAGUGGUGAAUUCACGACUUUUGUCAUUGGGAGAGAGUUGUUGGAGCUAUUGCUUAGUGGAGGCCAUCUCAGGUCAAUUGCUCGGAUUCGAGACUAGGGGGAGAGCUACAGUGUUCUCUACAGUAUUCUCUACAGUAGUCUGUAACUUUACUUCUCCGGGAAGAUGUAUUUCCCUUAGACGCAAGUAAGGUAUAUCUAAUCCUAA